UCCGGUUGAUCCUGCCAGAGGUUACUGCUAUCGAGAUUCGACUAAGCCAUGCGAGUUGAAUGUUCUUCGGAACAUGGCGGACUGCUCAGUAACACGUGGACAACCUACCCUUGGGUCCGGCAUAAUCCUGGGAAACUGGGAAUAAUUCCGGAUAGGUCACCGAUGCUGGAAUGCGCGGUGGCCGAAAGCUCCGGCGCCCGAGGAUGGGUCUGCGGCCUAUCAGGUUGUAGUGGGUGUAACGUACCUACUAGCCUACGACGGGUACGGGUUGUGAGAGCAAGAGCCCGGAGAUGGAUUCUGAGACACGAAUCCAGGCCCUACGGGGUGCAGCAGGCGCGAAAACUUUUACAUGCGGGAAACCGUGAUAAGGGGAUCUCGAGUGCCAGCAUAUAUGUUGGCUGUCCAGAUGCCUAAAAAGCAUUGUUAGCAAGGGCCGGGCAGGACGGUGCCAGCGCCGCGGUACACCGGCGGCCCGAGUGGUACCGCUAUAANUGGGUCUAAAGGUCUGUUACCGGCCAGUUNUUCCCUUGGAAUUCUGGCACUCACUUGACAGCUGCUAGGGGAUACGGUUUGGCUGGGAACCGGGAGAGGUGAGAGGUACCUUGGGGGUAGGGGUGAAAUCUUGUGAUCCUCGAGGGACCACCAGUGGCGAAGGCGUCUCACCAGAACGGGUCCGACGGUAAGGGACGAAAGCUAGGGGCACGAACCGGAUUAGAUACCCGGGUAGUCCUAGCCGUAAACGAUGCUCGCUAGGUGUCAGUCACGGUGCGACCGUGAUUGGUGCCGUAGGGAAGCCGUGAAGCGAGCCACCUGGGAAGUAUGGCCGCAAGGCUGAAACUUAAAGGAAUUGGCGGGGGAGCACUACAACGGGUGGAGCCUGCGGUUUAAUUGGAUUCAACGCCGGAAAUCUCACCGGGGGCGACAGCGAUAUGAAGGUCAGGCUGAAGACUUUACCGGAUUAGCUGAGAGGUGGUGCAUGGCCGUCGUCAGUUCGUACUGUGAAGCAUCCUGUUAAGUCAGGCAACGAGCGAGACCCACAUCCGCAGUUGCCAGCAUAUUCUCCGGAAUGAUGGGUACACUGUGGAGACCGCCGCUGCUAAAGCGGAGGAAGGAGUGGGAAACGGUAGGUCAGUAUGCCCGGAAUCUCCCGGGCUACACGCGGGCUACAAUGGUUGGUACAAUGGGCAUCUACCCGGAAAGGGGAAGGAAAUCUCUUAAAACCAAUCGUAGUUCGGAUUGAGGGCUGCAACUCGCCCUCAGAAAGCUGGAAUCCGUAGUAAUCGCGUUUAAACAGAACGCGGUGAAUACGUCCCUGCUCCUUGCACACACCGCCCGUCAAACCACCCGAGUAGGGUCUGAAUGAGGGUGUGUUUUAUUGACACUUUCGAAUCUGGGCUUUGCAAGGGGGGUU
rnacentral:rRNA from 1 species